GAUGAUGAACGUAGCGAAAUGCGAUAAGUAAUGUGAAUUGCAGAAUUCAGUGAAUCAUCGAAUCUUUGAACGCACAUUGCGCCCGCCAGUAUUCUGGCGGGCAUGCCUGUUCGAGCGUCAUUUCAACCCUCAAGCCCCCGGGCUUGGUGUUGGGGAUCGGCGUGCCCUCGCGGCGCGCCGUCCCCUAAAUCUAGUGGCGGUCUCGCUGUAGCUUCCUCUGCGUAGUAGCAACACUCGCACUGGAUCGCAGCGCGGCCACGCCGUUAAACCCCCCACUUCUGAAAGUUUGACCUCGGAUCAGGUAGGAAUACCCGCUGAACUUAAGCAUAUCAAUAAGCGGAGGA
rnacentral:misc_RNA from 1 species